ACGCUCGACACCUACGGAGGCAGCAGUGGGGAAUAUUGCACAAUGGGGGAAACCCUGAUGCAGCGACGCCGCGUGGAGGAAGAAGGUCUUCGGAUUGUAAACUCCUGUUGUUGGGGAAAAAGAGGAUGGUACCCAACAAGGAAGUGACGGCUAACACGUGCAGCAGCCGCGGUAAUCUGAGCGGGCUGGCAAGGC
rnacentral:rRNA from 1 species